rnacentral:rRNA from 1 species
UAAGGAAUAUUGGUCAAUGGACGCAAGUCUGAACCAGCCAUGCCGCGUGGAGGAUUAAGGCCCUCUGGGUUGUAAACUCCUUUUAUCUGGGAAGAAAUGUACUUUUUCUUGAGUACUUGACGGUACCAGAGGAAUAAGCACCGGCUAACUCCGUGCCAGCAGCCGCGGUAAUACGGAGGGUGCAAGCGUUAUCCGGAUUUACUGGGUUUAAAGGGUGCGUAGGUGGGCUUAUAAGUCAGUGGUGAAAUCUCCGAGCUUAACUUGGAAACUGCCGUUGAUACUAUAGGUCUUGAAUUAUCUGGAGGUAAGCGGAAUAUGUCAUGUAGCGGUGAAAUGCUUAGAUAUGACAUAGAACACCAAUUGCGAAGGCAGCUUACUACAUAUAAACUGACGCUGAGGCACGAAAGCGUGGGGAUCAAACA